rnacentral:lncRNA from 1 species
CAAAACAUAAUGCAUAACUCCUCAGUGCCAACUAAAGCAGAUUUUCAACAUAUUGUGCCAACACUUGUGAUAGCAUCGGUGCUCAUCGACAUCAUUAAAUUCAUCGACAAAACUUCAAGCGCUGUUGAUGAACUCUCUCAGAAGGCAGGUUUUAAAUUGAAACCAGUGGAUCAUAAUCAAGUUGUAGUAGAUAUUGUCGAGAUUAAGACAGAAUCAUCGUAGAUCAAUAAUCCAAUUCAGUCAACGCAGAGUUAGAAAUAUUGUCGAGAUUAAGACAGAAUCAUCGUAGAUCAAUAAUCCAAUUCAGUCAACGCAGAGUUAGAAAUAGUGUCCUAGAGUCACCUAAUAUGCACUUUUUUUGGCAAUUAUGUGAGAGAUUUUAUUGUAUUUUUUUGGACUGAUAUAUAAAAAAAAUGUAUAUCCCUAUUAAGCUGCAAAUAAUGAAAUCACCUU